CUGGUUUUGGCUUGUACCUCGUAUUUGUUGUAUCGGUGGGAGCAGAUGAAGCUGACCCUAUUAGGAAAAGGGUAAAGGGGUGGGGUGGCUUCAACCCAGGAGCUCCAACAUUGAAGUAGGCAGCCUCAGUUAGAAGUUCCGCUCGAGUGAUUUUUUUAAAAUAAAACCUAUAUUCAGAUAAUUAAACAAGCAUUAUAAUUGGUGAGAGUAUAUUGGAAGUGUAAAAUAAAUAAUAACUGAAUUAAAGGAAAGGGUAAGCCGUAAGAAUAAUAAUAUUUUAGUUCUUCGUCUGAAUUUACGUGUGCCAAAUAAUUGUACAAAGUUGAGUGAUUAUUUUGUGACUAAUGGAAGUUGAGCCACAUAUGUAUGGAUAAGGACGAGACGCCCACACUUGAUCUGAUUGUUCUUAGCCUGAUUUAGCAAUAACAGUUCUGGUAGUUUUGGUUCUAAUUUAACCUAAUGUAAGCUAGUGGGCUGAUGAAUCUGGUAAGAUGAGGUCACGCAUGCAAGCGGUGGAAAGCCACCAGUAUCAUCAUAACGAAAGAUGUUUGUCGGAGAAUUUUGUGAUGUUAGAACAUUUUUCUUUGAAAAGUAAAUGAUGUACAUUUAUUUCUCUUUGAAAGCAUAUGAUGUUAAAACAUUGAUUACUUAUUUCAUUUUCUGUGUCUUGUGUUUUUUGUUCUUUGGUAUUGUGAUUUUGUACACUUUUUGAGCUUUCUAUUCAAACUUUUGUGACGAUUAUCUGGUAAGAUUAUUCUUAUUCAAUAAAAAUAAUCGUGCCAAGAUAUCAAACGAACGAACAGAUGUUUGAUUUUGGUAUUUUGACCCGAUAAAAGCAGAGAUUUAUUUUCUUUAUAUGUAUAGUAUAGUCAACUACUAACUGGUUUGGUAAGAAAUAUUUAGAAGCUCGAGAGAACACGAAAACAAUCUUUAUAAAGGUCGCAAGAAAUCUUUAUGGUAGGCAAAAAUAAGCAGACAUUGAAUAUUGAACAUUUCACAACAAUUGUUUUAUAUGCUAAUUUCUAAGUUAAUAGUUUUCUAAUUGAUUGAUGUAUUAUAUGCACAAGAUGGACCAUAUCUAGAGAGCUAUUGAGGGUAAACAAAGCUAUCAACAUAAUUUUAAAACUAAGUUAUCCUCCAAUAUUCAUCUCAUAAUGCCAUGACCCCAAAAGGACGCACAGACUUAAUACCCUAUUACAAGCUGGCUGCCACCAUUUGCUUCAGUGAGCCCGCCUCAGCCUCAAUCCUACGUCAGCUUCUCGGUCGGAUUGUAUUAAACCAGUGCCGUGCGAACCUGAAUUUUGCAUUUCAGAGGAAGUCCCUUCAUCGUUUUGCUUCUCUAGAAUAUCUUCCCCAAAAUUAUGGAGUCUGCGGCCGAUAAGAUAUCGGUCAUCGCGUAUGGAGUUGUGAAGGUUAGUGAACCAGACAUGGAAUCUUUUUGCGCAAAACCACAAUACACUGAAGCAGAGACAUCCCAACCAUGCAAACCGAUAGACUGCUGAAUUUACAACUAGUGGGUAACCAAGCACGGGGAAUACGCCUCGGGCUAGGACGUAAGGUACGCAUAAAGCUGUUAGUAGCUUCAUUAUGAUUGGGAACACAAUUUCACGGAGCACCCAAAGACCUUGCAGCCUUGAGAAACCAUCUUCUCUCACCCUUUCGAAUUUUAUUCGCCAGCUUUCAUCUACAAGCGGCAUCAUAUGAUCCAACAUAACCUGUUAAAAUAACAUUGGGAAGAAUCCACAAUCCCUUGUUUAGAAGACAUUAAAAUGUAUCACAAAAGUGUGAUGGAAACAAAAAGCAAUAAAAGACUCACCAGCCUAGUCCAGAUCUUCAGAAAGAUGAGACCCAAAGCCCAAUCCUGGUAAAGGAGAAAAACUGGGCUCUCAUCCACGGGCACUCGCAUUGGUACAAUUACCAAGAGUUCAAACAGAAGCCCAAUUAACACCGGAAUGACAAAAAUCUGGAACAUAAUAGCGGCAAACGGAUUGAAGAGUUACAACUCCAAUCAUUAAAAAAAAAAAAAUCAAUUAAUAAAAUCUUUUAAAAGAAUAAUGACCAGAAUAACCCUUACCCAUAUUGACAAUAAUGCAGUGCUCUUCACAACAAUACCACACCACUUCCAUAUUUGCUUAAACAGAAUCGCUGCCCUCUUUGUUCUAACAUGUUCAAUGGAAUAUCUGGCUCCAGCCACAGCAGUCCAAAUAACAUAGCUUCCAAUGAUGAAAGCAUAUAGAUCUAAUGGAAAGACAAGAAAAUAUGUUAGCAUUUUCAUCAAAAAGCAUGAAGCAUGGGAACUAUAAGUAACCCAAUCGACAAUGUUACCAUUGCAUUUGACGCCAUGAGUAAUUGGAAGCAGGGGAAUGGCAUUGAAGAGUGCACGCCCAAGUGAAAUUGGCACAACUAUUAAGGCGGAGUUAAUAACAAGCAGAGUCAUCCAGGCAAUCACCAACAAGAGCACGAUGCGAAGAACAAAGCCGUACCUGCUAUAAUACAAUAAACAAUAGAGGGUAAGCAGAAGUGUCAGAAACCAAUCAAUACAGUUAUGACAGAAUAUUGAAAAUACAAAGAAUAAAAAAAGAAGUCUGGGACUGGAUUAUGGCAGAUCAAGGCGACAAGCAUGGUCCUACAAUGACAAGUGAAACUUUUCAAUUAUCAAAAUAAGAACACAAUUAAUUUUAGGAAAUUUUUUUCACUUAUAAAUGCCUUUCAAGGGUGCACUCGACAAAACUCCAAUGCCAGGAAGAAAUUCAGUCGAAUGUUGCUCACUGUAACAUAUACCCACUCGUAAUGUGAAAAAACAAAGUUCCUGAAACUUACUCUGAGUCAGAUUGCUCAUCACCAUCAUACUCUUCUGAAACAUUAGAGUUUCCCGAUACAAGAGCGCCUCUAUUUAUAUCAUCAACAGCUGGCAUUCCAAUCAGGGCUCGAUCAGGUCCUAAUGGUAUUACCUGUAGUCCAUCACGUCUAAUCUCAAUAUUUCUAUCACGCCUUAUGUCAAUAUUUCCAUUCUCCUGGCCACCAUUGUCCUCAGGUCUGGGCAACAAAAAGUCCGUCAGACCAAGUGCCCAGCCAACAGCUGUAAACCAAUAGCGAAGAAGAGACUUGAUUGUUGUGCGCAACUUAAAAUGCUCAAUGGCAAACGGAAUGCAGAUUUGAAAGAGAAGCAUGUCAGCUGGUAUUUCAGUAAACGGGUCGGAUACACUGCAUAAACAGUUAUGCAUUCAGCAUAUAAAAGAUGAUAUAUCAACAAGGAAAGAAACUGCAGCAAAAGAUGCCACUGUAAAGUGUCUGCUUACGAAAUGUCAAGAGGAAAAAUAGAAGUAGCCAUGCGCAUAGCAAGUUUGACUGGCAAAAAUACCAGCAUCACAAUCAAACUCCCAUAAACUGCAACAGACAGCAGAACUCUGCGAGCAUGCUUGUGUACAGGAUCAUCAAUUAGAUCACGGAAUGGAUUAUAGUUUGGAUCAGCAGGAUCCCGUAGGAAGUACAGAACUCCAUUACGCAGAACCUGUCAAUGCAAGUGAAGAAAGGUCGUAAGAAUAACACACUCAGACAACAAAUCCAGAACUAAAAAUGAGAUGGCAAGGAGUAGUACCCCUCGAAGAAGGCUGACGAAUAUGCUUAUCUGUAACAUGUAAACAAUUCCUACAACCCAAUGAACCAAUGAGCUUGCCAAAGGAGAGACUGAGAAGAACUGAACUCUUUCAGACAUUGACUUCCCAAACAUCCUUAUAGUGCAAACAUCCAACCACCAACCACACAUCAAAGGGAAAACCCCAAGUUCAAUGACCAAAAGGAAAGCUACCUUAAUCAUGGUCAUUAAAUGUCUCAUUGCAGCCAAGAACUGCCUAAAGAGAGAUGGAAUUGUCUCCGCUAUAGAAGCAAUACCAUAAAACCUCCCCAUAGUCAAAGGCUCGCCCUUGGUAUACCGAAUCAAAGCAACAAUGCCAAGGUAGAAGAAGACUAGAGAGAAUAUAAACAUGUAUCCAAUAGCAAGAGUUGUAACAUCAGAAAGCCGUGAUGUUCCCAUCGUUGCCUCUUUCAACAUAUCUGCUGAAAGUGAGGCACUUGUACUAUUUGCUGCUUCAGUUAUUUCACUGGCAUUUCCUUUUAACACAUCUGCAACUUGGCCAAGAAGACCACCUUCUUGCCCUUCGGAUGUUAAAUUUGUCACAGCACUUAGUGCAUUCUUCAAUGUGAUAUUUGCUAAGGAAAGGGCCGUCUCCGUAAGUGGCAUGACUGAUGACAGCACUGGACCACUAGCAGAGGAUAAAAGCCAUGAUACAUAGUAUAGAAUAAUCCGACCUAAUGAGAAGGGCAGAAAGAUCACAACGCCAAGGAAUAUCAUAUUGCUUGCGAGAACCUACAAAGGAGUAAAAUCACUCAUCAUAUAAUGAAAAAUUUCCCACCAGGUAGUCAAAAGAGGCUAAAUACAUAUUUUAUUUCUCUUGAUACGAAAAGUACUAAAUAGUUCUGAAAGCAAUAAUCCAUCUUAAAUGGAAUAUCCAAGCAAAAGUAAUUAAUACCUUUCUGAAAACAAAACUAUGAGGUAAUGAACCAAAGUCAAAAUAGACAGAAAUUAAAUUAGAUAAUGGGGAUUUGUUCUAUCUAAUUGAUACUGCUGUGACUUUAUUAUAAAGGUUUUCUUCUUUUAAUUAAUUACCAUGCACCACACCCCUCCCCACCCGCAAAUUAAAUGUUUCCCCUUGGGACUUGAACGCCUGACCUCUUGCUUCCACUGCAAAAGGCCAACCAACUGGACUAUCCUUCAGCAAUAUCUUUAUCCUAAUGCUUGCUCCCAAUGGAGUUCAAAACUCUAAUUCCACAAUCAAAUUUAGUUUUACUUUUGAAAUAGAGCAAAUGAUGCUAAAACCUUUGUAAAUGUCAGUUAAGUCCAAUUUUUCCAGUUUCAACUGCUUUUUUUUUUUUUUGGCGUUAAGUUCAGAAGCCUGUCAAGCAGAUAUUGGUUUUUCUAAAGAAGUCAACUUCCAAAUAUAACACCAAGAGCUGAUGGCAAGGGGUGAUAACGGUAAAAUCUUAAAAAAGAAACCUAAUUGACAUUUAGGUCAGGUAUAAGAGGUCUGAGUGCCAUUUACACAUUGAAAAAGGAGCUAGUAAAAUAAUGCAGCUUUCAUCAUGCCUAACACCUACUAAAAAUAUAUAUCACAGUAAACCUAACAGCGGCAAUUCAUUCUAAUAGGAGAACAAACGUGAUAUGCUUUCAAUAAUAUGCAUUCCCAGACAUUUGAAAGAACCCAAGAAAAGACAGAAAGAAAAGGAGAAAGAGUUUACGGUAAAAACCAUCAAGACAAAUCAAUUGCGCAACAAAAUAAAAGACAGAAUUACUGAUCUAUAAUGAUAACAAGAAAAUGAUAAAGAACAAAUGGCAGACUUACAGUAAAAGCAUUUUCAACCAAAUGAAAAACAGGGCCCUGCAUGCCAACAAGCUCAUCAAAGGGUACAUCCUCUGCGCCAUCAGCAUCAUCCAAACCAUCAAACAUCUGUUCAACAUGAGCCUCGAGACGAGCUGCCUGCAUCUCCCAUCGUGCAGCAACAUUUUCUGCAUUCCUUCUUAUCAUUUGACCUGCUCCAGCAAUACCUGGUGCUCCACCAGCAUCUUCAGCAUUUCCUUCACCAGCAAAAUUCCUAUUAGCUUGUCCAGGGGGUCGCCUGGCUGCACGAGCAACAUUUCUGUCCCCUUCAUCCUCUCUCUCAGCAUCCUGUCCUCCAAUCUCUCGUAAAUGCCUGAAGUAAUCCCUUAAAGAAGUUGCUCCAAGAAAAAUAAACACAAUGCUCGCAGAAAGUAAGAAACCAUGCAAACAAUCAGUAAGAAUAACUGUAGUGGAGAUAUGACUCAAAAAUAAUCUCUGAGCUUCUCCGAAACUCCUCACAAAAGCCAAGCGCCAUAUCCAGAAUGUGAUAAAUGGUAUGAUGAGGAGCCAAACAGAAAGGACAAAACUGAGCCGUAGAAAGAAUUGCAGGACAUGGUAAGCUUUCAUCGCCAUCCCAACUAUAAACUCCUGAAACGGAAGUCUUGCUGGAGCAUUCUCAGCAUAAACAGGGGAGAAGGAAAAUGCAUGUUUACAAACCUACAAAAGCACCAAGUAAACUCAGUUACAGGAUUAAUAUCUUCACCUAGAAAAUAGAACUCGUCAUAAACAGAAUCAAAAGAUGAGUUAAAAGCAACAGCAGACAACUUCCAGCACUUGGAAACUGCAAACCAAAUAAAUGAUAUUAAUGGUUGCACAGUGACAGGAAACAUGACUUAGAAAAAAAAAAAACUUCUCUAUUCAUUCUGGUUGUUGUCUUUGGCUUUUUGCAUGCAUUUACAGACCUAUUACAGGCUUCCUACUGACACAUUUAACGUGCUAAAUUUCUUGAAAUACACACAUACAUCAUACACACUUUUGCAAUGUAAUUUAUCAAAGUCAUGCAAUAUACUGGUCUGUAUGAUGCUAUUCACCCCUAAAUCAUGAUCUUAAAAUAUCAAUAAUCAGCUGAUAUGAGACCCAAAGGGAAAGCCCGUCUAAUCAUCAAAAUCACAUUGCCAGAACUAAUGGUAGGAACACAAUUAAAAUGUUAUGCAGUAAUAGUAAAUUAAACAUAAAGAAUUUGCUGCUGCACAUUUCUACACUAUACUUUCCCCAGCAGUUAUCUUCAUUCUCUCAUUAUGGUACUCAGUCCCCUUUCAUUAUAUCAUAUCAAUUAAGCAUUAAUCUCAAAACUCGAAUAAAUAAAAUAACAGCCAACACCAACCCACUAAAAAUCCUAACUACAACCAAUUGAAAUAAACCUUUUUUUCCCCUCUUCUUCCAUAAAUUACAUAUCCAAAGAAGAAUAAUAAAAUCUACUCGCCUAGAAAAUCAUACAAUUCAAAUAUCAUUAAUCCCUUCAAAAGUUACAUAUGUUUCUCCUAAUUUUCUAUCUCCAACAAAUGAAUUUUUUUUAAAGAAAAAUGACACAUUAAUAAAUUUUAAAUUAAAAAAAAAAAUAGAAAAAGAACCUCGCAUUGACGAGCGUUACUGUGAUUGAGCCACUGAAGGAGGCAAUCCUGAUGAACAAACUUGAUACUUCCGCUACAGGCACAUGGAUACCGCAACGGAUUCUCGGGAUCUCCAGGAUUCCGACAGAUCCGACACACCUCCUCUUCCUCUUCCUCCUCCUCUUCGAUAUCGAAGCCGGUCGAACUAGUCUUCUCUCUAUCAUCCUCCGCCCCCAUCGACGCCGAUUCUUCCGCUCCUCUCUUCAUCGACGGCGUCGACAAAGAUGGCUCGGGAGAGUUGGCCGGCAAGGAGGAGGAGAAGGAGGAGGAGGCCAUGGCGCCACCCCGCGGUGACGUGGAAACGUCCAUAGGAAAGAGAGCUGACUUUUGUCUCUCUGUAUUCGAGGCAAUAUUGAAUCAAUGGUGGUGGACUGAUGGUGAUGCCGAAUGGGAUCUUAAUUAAAACGGGGGUUGCUAGGAAGAAGGAAAUUGUUGGGUACAGAAUUUGAGUCCAGAAUUGCCCCGGGUUCCAAUUUUUAUUACGGUUUUGUCGGUUACAAUGUAUGCGGCUGACUGGACAUGACGUGGAGGUAAGGGAUUGGUUUUUCAGUUUUUUAAUUUUUUACUAAAAUUUUAUGUUUUUAAGAAUAAAGGCUAAAAAAAUUUAUAUUUAUACUUUAAAAUAUUUUUUGCUUAUUUCUGCUGUACCGNNNNNNNNNNNNNNNNNNNNNNNNNNNNNNNNNNNNNNNNNNNNNNNNNNNNNNNNNNNNNNNNNNNNNNNNNNNNNNNNNNNNNNNNNNNNNNNNNNNNNNNNNNNNNNNNNNNNNNNNNNNNNNNNNNNNNNNNNNNNNNNGCGGAUGUACGGUACAGCAGUUUUAUUUUUUAUUAAUAUAAUUUAAAAAUUAUCUUUUAAAAUAAUUUUAUAAUUUUUAAUAAAAAUUUUCAUUAAAAAUCAAACAAAUAAAAUUUUUUAAUUAAAGUUUUAUCAAAAAAUUUUAUUUAAAUAACCUCUAUUUAAAAAAUUAUAUCAAUUGAACCUAGCAGUUUGCACUUGUAAAAAAAAAAGCUCUUUGCAAAACAAAAAAAUAUAUAUAUAUUUGCUUUAAUUGUAGGUCUUUUUUUUUUCCUUCAUCCUCAGGAUUGCUUUAUUGUAGUUAAAAUGAAGUCAUAUCCUUUGGUCAAAUAGAAUACAAUUCAAGCUUAGUUUUACUUACUUUCGAUUCGCAUUGGCUGAAAAUUUCAAUAUAUGAUUCCUAUGGGCCUAAGAACAAGACUUUAAUUUUUUGGGCUAGGCUAAUCCAUAUACUAAUCUACCAACACACCGUUACCUUUUGUUGUGCGUACCCACAAUUGAAAAUGAUAAAAUUAAGACCGGUUGAUAUUGAAGUUAGAUAAUUUUAAUUUUUAAAUUACACUAUUAAUGUGUGUAGUAAACAUUUGAUACAGUGAGUUGAAAGUAAAAUUGAUUUGAUCUUUUGCCAUGAAAAAUUUAUAAUAUCUUUAUUAUUUUUGUUAAGAUUAUUAUUUAAAAGUCAUAUUUACAACACAUUAUUAACUUUUAUUUAUAGUAAUAGUUUUUUAUAACAGUUUUAAUUUAAAAAAUACAACAUGCCUCAAUACCAAAGAGGACAUGAAUUUAAUUUCUUAAAAAGGACUAUAAAAAAAAAAAAAUAGAGUAUUAAGUAGUAAGGAGCAAUGGGCUUGGCCUGACCCAAUCCCACAGUUUUUUUUAUUUAAAUUAAAUUUAUUUUUUAUUCAUAAAUUAAAAAAAAACCCUGACCAAAUCCGAUCUUUUUGUGAAGUCUUUGUCUAGACCUAACAUAUAUGGACUUUGUAAUUUUUGGGCCCAUAUUUAGACCCACCUCUUGCGGGCCGAACUUUAGUCCCUGGAUUGCCGGGCCGGCCGGCUUUUUUGCCACCCCUAAGGAGCAAUAUGGUUAGUUAUGAUUCUCUUAAUUAUAGAUGUAAGUAAUUUAUAAUAUCUUGUUAAAUGAACCAGUUCCAAUGAUUGCAGAAAAACCCUUCAUUACUAGUCAUUAUAGCUCAACAUGAAUAUACUUAUUUCGUUUGUGAUUUAGCAAUUCCAAAGUUUUUUUUUAAAUAAAAAAGAAAUAAGAAAAAUUAAUCUUUUAACUUUUCAUGUUUUUUCAUUUCAUAAAUCUUGUUAAGAAUCUUUCGACAUGAAAAAGGUUUGUGGCACUGUAAUAAGCCUCCGAUGGGUAAGAUAAAUUCAAAAUACUCCUUUUUUUUUUAUCUCAUACUACUGCUCGCCAAGUGUAGCGGGGCACCAUCCGCUAAAACUUGGCCCUUUUUAAUGCAUUUGCCCCGCCUAACCUGGGGUUUUUGAUGCAUAUAAGUAUUUUUAUUUCAAUGUUGAUACAUAAUUAAUGGGAUACUAUAUGUAUUACCGUUACCCGAUAAAACAAUCUUGUCAAAUAUCGGUAUAAAUAAUCUUUUCAUAUCGUAUUCAAAGCACCAUGCUAUUAUUAUUUAAUGAUAUUGAAAAUGAAACCCUUAAUUCAUGUGUUUUAACAUGAUUUCUUUGUCAGUAACAUUAUAUUAUGAAGAUAAAGGAUUUUUCUUCUUAAAUUAUAUUAGGCUACUGUUUCUAACCCAAUAAAUAAAAUAAAUUCUAAUAAUAUAUUAAAAUUUCUUAGUUAUUUUUUUUUUUUUAGCCCCUCAAUACAUAUAAAAAGGGAAGACAUAGAGUAGACGUCAUCUGCCAAUAAAAUCGUGAUCUUAAAAAGAAAAUAAAGAUGAAAAGAAAAAAAAAAAAGUUCCGCAUGUAAUGGUCUAAUACUUACACGUAAUCAUUAUUUCAUAUUUUAAGUCCCUCUUCGGUCUUCACGGGCGUGCACCAAAAUGUAACGGCUAUCUGUCUGCUUUUUCUUUUUUGUUUUUUUUCAGGUCUUGUUUUCUAAAUAUAUAAUUAACUAAUCAUAAGAAUAAUUAAGAUAACUGAUAAUGAUACGCACAAAUUAUCAUCCAUAAAAGCUUAUUAGGAACUGCUAGAUCCACUAAUUGAAUGAUAAAUUACUUACUUAUAUAUAAAAUUAUACUUAAAUCAAUAGAAUCUAACAAAGGCCACUUUCACUUCCUUCCAUGAUCAAAGCAACUCUCUUUUGUCUUUAGUGCGCCUAAUCUACUCUCCUUUAUGACAAUUCUCUACUUUGUGCUCCUUUAGAUCAUUGUCAAUUUGUCACACACUCACUUUGUUACAGCAUUGGCCAAUGGCCAUGAAUUCACAUUAUUUAUUUAUUUAUUUUUUCCACUUUUGCUUUAUGCUCCAUUGGGUUGGUGAGUCAAUAAUUUUGUUUCAUUUCUGUGCCUCGCUUUUGUAGAAUCCUUAAUUAUUACUAUCAAUCGCAGCAAUUAAGGAGCUGUCGGUGGCAUAGUGGCAUCCAAUGUUAUGACCUGCCCUUCCCAGCUUCUGCAUUGUUUGCAUGAAUCUUGUGGCCUUUGUUGUUCUUUCACCGCAUUUUCAACUUCUUCAAGCAAAGCUCCCUCUCUCAUUCGCUCUCUCUUUCAUUCCAUUGCAUACGCCAAAGCAAUAACUAGGUAGUGCAGGUCAGUACUGUGAACAAUUUGCUUCUUUUCCUUAGUGAGAUUUUGCUGUUGAGCCUCAAAAGCUUGCAUUUGUUCUUAUACGCUUUGUUCUAAAUCAAGGUGUGUCAGUGUUAUUGUGCAUUUAAGGCAGUGUUCAUUAGUUAAUUUUUAUCUGUUUAGUGACAAGUAAACAGAAGCGGCUUCUUUACCAUUUGGAGUUGCUUUUGUUUAUGCUUUUGACGCUAAAAUUUUACUAAUUUAUGGCUUACAAAACCAACAUGAGAGUUGUAAUAUUGCAGGAAAUGUGGGAUAUACCACUUUUAAGUUUUUAACUUACUUAUAAUUGUUUUACCAAAUCAUUGAAAGUUGCACCAAAAUUCCAAGCAGAGGCAAAUUAAUUUGUGUGCUGUUCUUAUUUUAGUUCACACAUUAAGUAGGUAUUAGCAUGUAUCAGUUAUUUUUAAUUGAAUGCAUUCAUUAAUUGUCACUGAUAGAAGUUAAUUAUAUUAAUCCACAUUUCCCACUUUUGCUGCAUGUUUACAGAAUCUGAGUGAUGGACCAGAAGGCAUGGCUUUGGAGGAAAAAAUCUUCAGAAAAGACAAUUGUUGCAACUGACAAAGUUGGCGUUACAUUGAAUCAAAUUGAUGAACAGGUAGUGGAAAUUUACUUCUCCUUCCCCUCACCUUCAAUUUUUUGGUUUCUAGUGUAUGCUGAUUAUUAUUACCUCUUCGAGAAAAUAUUUCACGUUCCAUGGUCAUCUAAUAGACCUUGAAAUCUUCGUUCUACAUUUCUUUUUCAUUUGUCCUUUUUUUUUUUUUCUUUUUGAAGAAUUUCUGCUAUUUCGUUGUGUUAGGUACCCAUAGUUCCUACGACUAAAGGAGUAGGAUCAGAGAGAUCCAUGAAGAAUCUUAAUGAGAAGUUAGCUUCAGUGAUCUUUGAUUGUCAUCCUAAAGAUGAGCUUAUGGCAAAACAAGCAAAGCUGGUGCAAGAAGCUGGCGCAGGUGAUUUAUAUUUAUUUGAUUAUCAGUCUUUUCUCACUCUUGCUUUAUCACUUCCACAGUUUUUCUGAUGAUUCCAUUGGCUGAUUCGAUAAAUAUUUCUCUUAGGCCAAGAAAAGCCAGAAGUGGCAGCGGCAGUGGUGAAAAAAGAACUUGAUGAGACUCUGAAGCCUCCACUUUCUGCAAAUGAAAACUUACCUUAUGCAGGUGCUGCAACAGCACCAAUGAAAUGUGUGAAACAAUUAAACUUUGAUCAAGCAGAACAAGAGCAAAGGGUCCAUGACGCUGUCGUAAAAACAUCAGGUGAGUUUGAGAAGGCGCAGAAGGAAUUGGAAAAGAAUUUAAGGGAGGCAAAUGAAAGAAUUGCUAAGUUAGCUGCUGAGAAUAGCCAUCUGAGUAAAGCACUUCUAGUCAAAGAGAAAAUGAUCGAAGAUCUAAGCAAACGCAAGUCUCAGGCUGAAGCAGAAUUCAGUACCCUGAUGACUAGAUUAGAUGUCACUGAAAAGGAAAAUGCAUUUUUGAAGUAUGAGUUUCGUAUUCUUGAGAAAGAGCUUGAGAUUCGAAACGAGGAGAUGGAAUAUACCCGGAGAUCUGUUGAGGCAACGCAUAAACAGCAUUUGGAGAGCGUGAAGAAAGUCGCAAAGUUAGAAGCAGAGUGUGAGAGGCUACGCCUUUUGGGGCGAAAAAAGCUGCCUGGUUCUGCUGCUUCGGCAAAGAUGAAGAGCGAAGUCGAAAUGCAGGGAAGAGAUCAGAUGGAUAUGAGAAGAAGAAAGUUGAGUCCUACUAGAGAUUUGAUUGUAAGACACGCCACCAUGGAGAGCUCUCAUGACAUCAGUCUGCUUGCGCGGUUGCAUGAUAUGGAGAAGGAAAACAGAACUCUUAAAGAUAUUGUGAUCACAAAGAGCACUGAACUUCAGGCUUCAAGGAUGAUGUUUUCAAGAACAGCUUCAAGAUUAUCUUAUGUUGAAUCUCAGCUUAGAGAGAUAUGCACAGGUCAAAAAUCCAUGGAGCUGACAGGUUGUGUACCUAUCUCCAGCGAACUUUCUAUAAUGUCAGUUGACAAUGCCAGCGAUGAUGGGAUGAGCUCAUCAGGAUCAUGGGCCAACGCUCUAAUUUCAGAACUAGAACAUUUCAGAGAUAGGAAAAUCAAGAAUCAGCUGGAACACAAAGGCAUUGAAGUUUCAGGCAUGAGCUUAAUGGAUGAUUUUGUUGAGAUUGAGAAGCUCGCUAUAGUGUCUGCGGAAACACCUUCAGGAAGUGGCUAUCAGUCUGAUGUCACUAGCAAGGAAUUAGUUCCACUUGUACGAAGUGAUUCCAGGCUUAGUGAGAUAAAACAGGAGAUCCACUCAAAAGACGUUGCAACUGAAAAAUCUUUUGACUGGCUUCAGGUUGUUUUGAAUGCAAUGUUGAAGCAAAGGCAAAUUUCAAAACAAAGUCUAGAUAAGCUUCUUGAGGAUAUUAGAAUUGCUUUGGGGUAUGUAAAUUAUCCGACUGUUGUUGCAGCUGAUUCAGUGGCCGCCUCAACGCAACCCAGGGAAUCAAAAUCUCCUAAUACAUCUUACAUUGCACAUUCGUUGCCUGGAGAUUGCAGAAAUGGCAAAGAAAGAAGCAGCCAACAUCUUGAAUCUGAUCUCAGUAAGUCAAUCUGUAAAAUCAUUGAACUGAUUGAAGGAGUCAAUGUGACAUCUUCAGUAAGUCAUCCUUACUCUGUCCAUGUUUUUCAGUGGAAUCCUUCUGAAUUACAUGCUGUUCUGCAAAAGUUUGUAUGUGCUUGUAAUGACCUAUUGGGUGGGAAGGCUGACCUCGAUAAAUUUGCUGAGGAACUUUCAAGUGCUUUAGAUUGGAUUAUGAACAACUGCAUUGCCCACAAAGAUGCUUCGAGAGCAAGGAAUAAAGUAAAGAAGCAUUUUGGUUUACUUGUGGAAUCAAAUGAGGUUCAUAUCCCUGAAGAGCAAUCUUCAGCUUCUUUGCAAGGCCAAAAUGUCUUAUCCCAAAGUAAUCUUCAAGAGGAAAACAGGAGACUAAGAGAUGAGUUGAAGAGUAUGGCAGCCAGGCUGGAGUCAGCAACUGAUAGGAGUGAGGCCUUGGUGACACAACUUCAUGAAUCAGAAGAACAGAUUGGAAAUUUAGAAACUGAAGUCAAAGCUUUGAAAGAAUCCAAGGAGAUGAUUGAGGAUCAGAUGGAAAAUCAAAAAUCUAUCAAUGAAGAUCUUGAUACCCAGCUAACAGUUGCCAAAGCUAAACUGAAUGAGGGCUUUCAGAAGUUCUCAUCUUUGGAAGUUGAAUUGGAGUACAGAAAUAAUUUUUGUGAAGAACUGGAAGCAACAUGUCUCGAGCUUCAACUCCAGUUAGAGAGGUAAAACCGAUUUCUUUGCUUUUCCUACUGUAUUAACUGGUUAAAAAAUUGUUCCUUGAUUAAAAAAAGUCUACACUUUUCAUCAUGUUGACUCUCAGUGUUGCAAAGAGGGAACCACCGAGCUAUGGUGUAAAUCAGGGGGAAAAGCAAUCCCAGAAUGUAAGUUAGACAUCAUUAUCUGUUAUUAUCAUGUUGCCUUCGCUUAUAGAAGCAGACUUAUAAAUCUACCAGUCAACAACAUCAAAAAAUUAAAAAAAAAAAGGAAAAUAAUUGUUGGACAAUGCAUUGACAUAAAUGCUGCUGUUUGAUUAUUCAGGGUUGGGAGAUGACAGCAGCUUCUAUAAAGUUGGCGGAGUGCCAAGAAACCAUUCUAAACCUGGGAAAACAGCUGAAGGCACUGGCUUCACCACGGGAAGCAGUACUUUUUGACAAGGUUUUCUCAACCACCAAUCCUGCCAUCACUGCAACCAAUAACAGGAGAUUAAACCAGCGCUUCUCCUUACGUGAUAGAAUGCUUGCUGACGAUAGCUCUAAAACAGACCCUUUCAAGUCUUCAAAUAGUAAAGCUACUUUGAGUAUUGAAGAUGGUCCAAAACCAUCACUUCUUCACUCCAAUGAUUGUAAUGGUGUAGAUGCCCCUAUUGUCCAGGUCCAUUCUCCAGAAGUACAUACUGCUUUAGAGAAUAAAGCCAGUAACACUGCAGUUGGAUCAUCUCUGGCUGUUGUGCCAAGUAAAAAACGAGGAGUUGGUUUACUUUUGAAACUAUUUCUGAGAAGGAAGAAAGGGAGCAGCAAGAAUUCUAGAUCUUUAGCCAAGGUCUGAGUACAAAAAGAUAGACAAUCAAAGCUAAGAGCCUAAGCUUAAAGAGAAACUCCUGGUCUCAUGAUAGCAGCAAUACACAUCUUGGAGGAGUUAAUUUCCCGGAGUUUUCAUGCGUUGGUUGUUAACGUUUGGUGCUUAUAGUUCCCACCUUGAUGAUCGGAUGAAGUGAAAACAUGACUGCUAUUCCUGCUUUUGUUUAAACGAGAGAUAUCAUCAGAUAGUUCUUUUGUAAUGUGCAAUUGUGCAGUGAGUCCGAAGUGUUGCUUGUAAAAAUACAACUGGGUUUAAAACUUUUGAGAGCUUAAAUAAUUCCUAUAAUGAAAGAUGGCUGUGGAGAGUUUUAUCAUUUGAUGGCUUGAAUAUAAAGGUUCUAGACUCAAGACUUGAUUGGAAUCCUAGAGUGUCAUUUGAUGUGAAGAGAUCAUUUUUCUUCUUCCAAUAAAGCAGCUUUAGCUGCAGCUUCUACAUUCUUAAUGGUGUAACAAAUCUUAUUAGUCUCUUCCUUGGUUCUAGAAAUAUUGAUACCGUAUCAAAGCAAAUUAUCUGGAUUCAUUAUUGCCUCAAGAUGAUGCCUUGUUUCAUGGAAGAUGAAAUGAACUUGCAUUAUAUUCUCAAAAUCAAAUCUGUUAAAUUCUACAAUUCACACGGGCUAUGGUUAACAAGAAAAUUUAAAAGAUGCCUGAGAAAAUGAACGAUAAUGCUUCUCUAUUUCUCUCUCUCUCUCUCUCUCUCUAUCAUUCUCUCUUUUCCUUCUACUUCUGAAAGCCACCUGAGAAAAAUUCAGAAUCCCAGAACCACAGGUACCAGUCAAUUUUCCAACCAUUAUUCUCAUUCUUGGUUUUCAAUCUCUAUACAAGAUAAAUCUUGCAAUUUCAUCCAGUCCACCCUCUUUAUAACAUUCAGCUAUGCGCUCCAGAGAGUCGGCCCAGGUUCCUUCAAUAGAACCCAAAUCCAGCAGAAAAGCAGCCUCAUCUAAUGCAAUCUGCACCAAGGUAUCAGAAUGAAACAUUUUGUACCUUGCAUAAAACUCUAAAACGAACUGUGCUGCAACAAUACCUGGGCAGGUGCCUUUCCUUUCUUUAAAUCCUCUUGUUUACCCUCUUCAGUUAUCUUCUCCUUAAUGUACUCUAUUUGCUCAUCCUCCCAUUGUGCAAUGCUGGCGACUGCCUGGUCACGUAAAGCAAAUGUUACCACACAAGGCAGCACCGCAGCAGAAACUUAAGAACAGAACCUGAAAGGAAAAUGCAUAUGGAGCAAAGAAAUUCCCCGUGCCUCAUAUGCACAGCCUAAGGUCCACCACGGUGAUUUCAAAGCCACCCUUGCAGAAUCUUUAGCUUCUGAGAUACGCCCUACUCUACAGAGAUUUAAAAAUUCUCUUGAGAGAUUUUAAAGUGCAAUGCACAUCUCCAAAUCAGGAAAAGGAUUUUUCAACUAACUUCAGCAUAAUCUCCGCAUUGAAAACAAAAGGUCGUCCAAAUCCUGGAAAGAGGUCCUUCUUUGCAUAAAACUCCCCAGUCACUAGAGCUGAAACCUUCCAUUUACCCAUGCAAUAAAAAAUAAAUUAAUAGAAGCCUCAAAGGAACAAAAGUCUCGAACUAAAGAUAAAAAUUCAGAAAAUCUUACAUGAUCCCCUUGCUCAAAGUGUCGUGUCACUUUAUGCUCUAAAACAUCUGGAAACAGCCCAACCUGAAAGACAACAAUAAAAUGUUACCACAGAUUUAGCAGAGGCAGUGCUAAACCUCAGCUCACACAGCUGUCCAAUUACCUUACUCAGUAGAUAACUGUCAAGGUUCGUUAUAUUGGAUUCAGCAAAAUCACCCCUUUGAUAAAGUUUCUUACCAGCCUCAGAAGAUGCAUCAUAUAAUUCACUAUUAUUUUCUUCCAAGUGAUGGGCAUCUUCUUCAACAAGGAGCCGGUGAAUAUAUUGAUCUACCUGUGUUUCAAAAGCGGUAAAUAGAUUAGUCAUUUUUGUAAAAAUAAGAUAAAUACUAUGAGGGCUUGUUCAACUCUAUUUUACAAACUAGGGGAAAGGAACGAGAAAAAGAAGUGAAACUUCUGAGAUUCCAGAUCUUAAAAUGUCAAGUACACUCAACUAGUUACACACAUUACGGUAUGCUUUCGGUUUAAUGCAUUACAUUUUUGCCUAAAAGCCACACCCCAUGCUUGCGAACUUCCACAACUGGCAUCUCCAUUCUGUGUUGGCAAUAGUUGUAGGAAGAUUAUUUAGUAUUAAAGCAUUUGCCAAAGUAAGUGUUCUGUAACAGCAAAAAUCAUAUAGCAUGAAUUGUUAAAGUUCAAAUCACUAACCCAGAUGGAGCUGUUGGCCACCGCAACAAUGCUGUUACAGCACCUAUUGUCAAUGAACAAUAGAUGUGCCACAUUUAUAUUAGGAACUCCACAUCAAAUUUUUUUUUCCCCAAUAUAAGCUACUAAUAAAUUGUAUGCAGUAUUCAAAUGGUCAUCAAACCUGAGCUAUUUUCUGAAAGAGGUAUAGCAAGGGGAAUGAUCCCUUGCCUGGAUCCUGGAGAAACAAUGGUAUCACCUGUGACCAAGUGAAAAAACACAAUAAUAGUUCAGGAACAUGCCAACAGAGGAAAAAGAAACAGCUCCAAAUUUUCAAAUUUUUAAAUAAGUUGACUGUUCCAGAUUGGAUAAAAAAAUUGCAAAAGAAAAAACUGUCACUACCUCAUAAUAAAAACUUAAGAUGGCCGAGCUAUACAUUGCAGAAAUCUCAAAUUUCAACUAACAAGUCAAGAAAUCAGAAACUGCCCACCUCUAGUCCGAAGCACUUUUAGCAACUCAUCAAGAUGUUCAGGAGGAUUCGCCACUGCUAUAUCUCUGAUGAACGAUACAUGGCCUGCGUUUUGACCAGCAGACUGUCAGAUAACCCCAACGUAAAAAAACUACUCAAUGACAAACAUCACAGAGGAUGAAUUUACCAAAAUUGAGAUCAAAACUCCAUAAUGGGGUUAGCAUGACAAUGACGUGGUAUCAGUUAUGCAUCAUCUAUUUUCAACCGAACUUCUAGUACAAUUCAAUCGAAAUGAAAAUGGGUUAAAAAAAAUUCAAAUUUUACUGGCCUAGACUCAUUAAAUAACUGAUUAAACAUAUUUUCUUUUUAACUAAAGUGAUGACAACAUAGGCUAUGUGUGCAUAUAUAUAUAUAUAUAUAUAUAUAGUUACCAGAAGAGGAAGAGCAUCUAAUGGGCCUAGCUCUGACGUGGCGAAGAGGCAGUGCAGCGGCACAAGGAGCUCUGUGGAUUGCUCCCAUUACACCCAUCUUCAUUUUGCUGCUGCCGCUUCUACCUCAGCAGCCACACUACGUUAAGCUUUGUAUCUCUCAAGGUGACACUAAAAACAGAGGAUAAGAACCAAACAUACUCGAUAGAUAGAACCAGGGCAAUUCGUGGUCUCAUUUUGUUGUUUAUUGUACAAAAAUAAUAAUAUUAAGAAAGACCCUCUUUUUUUCCCAGAAAUGGCAAAUUUCCAAAUAUGUUACAAUUUUACACAAAGAAGUCACUAAAAUUAAUUUAAAAUUGCUGUUUAGAAAAACAAGCCACAAAGGUUAAAAAAAAUCCAAGUUCAAAUAUUGAAAUGAACGCCUUAUUAUUAGUUAUCAUUUUAUCUUUGAAGGGACAUCUUAUUAUUCACAUUCUUUCUUGUUUAGUUAUUUAUUGAAUCAUAUAAUCGUAAUUUAUGCUAGAAAACUGGUCUUCAACACAGAAGAAAAAAUACAGAAUCUGCUAUGGCCUUAGCUUUUGCAUAUUGUUGAUGGGGGAGUAAAAGUGGGAGCUAAUCAAGUACACACUAAUUUUACAGCGUGAAUGAUAUUUGUAUAUAAAAUCCAUCAUAAUGAAUCAUUUUGUGUAAUUCAAUCCACAUUUUGGAAAUCAAUUAUCCUUCAAUGUUUUCUUGGAGGUCAAAGCUGCCUCCUUCAUUUCCAGCAAUGAAUCUUCAAAGCACUUGGCAAGCAAUUCCGGGUCAGGGAUAAUGUCUUUAGCUACUAGAAUUUGCAUGUCAGCUCUUCCUGCAUAGCUCAUCAUGUGCAUUGUCAGCGCCUGCAUAAAUAUCAAGUUAUCAACCAAGGUGAAUACUUAUGUUUCACUGAGUCUAUUGAUAUUAAAAUAAAAUCUAUUAAAAAAAAACAACACAAUCUACCAAUAACGUUAAGUGUAAACAAUGGACAUGUAGGAGAUUGAAAAUUGCAAAUAUUGUGCACGAGGUCACCAAAGAGACUAGCUUAUAAAAGUAGACUAUCUCAUCUUACUUAUAAGUCAAAUUCCACCCUCAAAUAAAAUCUCCACAGGUGGAGAGGCAUCACCGGCCUCUACCCUUUCAUCCAAUGUGCUUGAGUUGUUCCACCAUAUUCGAACUAUUAGGUUCUGGCUUCAGCUUGUUAUUAUUCAGUCUAUAACUCUAAAGACUACUAGUCCAUGGUGGAGCCAAGGAGUGAUUCACCCUCUUUAUAAAACCCAAGUAUCUUCCUUUUAUAAGCUAAUAUAGAACACAACACCAAUAAAUAUAUGCUACCAUACUAGUAACAAGAUGAAUGGUGUUAAUGCAAUAUGUACACGAAUAAAUAGUAACAUAUUACUAACUAGACACAAAAUCUUAAUUGAGUAAUUAAUCAAGGAAGAAAAAGCUGGAGCUAGAGGCUGUACAUGAGGCAAGCUAGAAGUGUUUGCCCGGAGGUAAGCCACAGGAUUGUCUGCAAGGGUAAUCUUCUCUGUAGGGCCAACAAUAUUCGAGAUUGUGAAGGUUGUAUUACAAACAAUCCUGUAAUUAAGCAAGCACGCUACCUACAAUUAAGGGAAGGGGAAAAAAAAAAGAGUUACAAAUCUGCGAGGAAUGUAAAAUUUGAAAAUUUUAACGGAAAACUGACAAAAUUCUUUUUUAUAAUCACCUUUGCUCCAAACCAGGACAUUACAAGAUUCCCAAUUUUGUAUGAGAAGUGACCCUCUAGAGUUAGUUUCUUACUGUCAAUCAUUUUCUUAGCUCUCUUUACAUAAGAUAAGGGAUCAGCUCCACCUUUGUGAUAAUAAAUUGGCAGCAGAAGCAUGCCAAAUUUGUUCCCCCAGCGCGUUCCUGAAUUGCUUUUCAUUAAGUUUGAUAGAUCCUGAACCAAAACCAUUCAAUCCCACUACGUAACGUGUAGUCUAAGGUCACAUAAUAAAUGAAAUUGUUUAAAAUAAAUAAAUGUACACUGCACCGUGGCUAACCUGCAGUCCUGGCUGCCGUCUUAUAUUAACCAUGGCCAGACCUGUAAUUCUAAGUCCUUCGGGCAGAGCUGAUGUGAUCAAAAUUGAACUUAAGUUUAGGAUUUAAGAUCAAUGUGAUUGAAGUUUGAUGUUGAUGUAAAUGUAAAUGUACAAAUGUAGGUGUGUGUUAGUAUCAAAACUUACCAUUUGGGGAUCGGUGAUCCAAGUACCUUGAUAAUCCGGAUGAUACAACCCCAAAGAGAACAUCAUUAAUGGUCUGCAUUGUUGAAUAAUUUGAAGUAUCAAUAUAGGCAAAACACAAUUAAACUAUAAUUUAAGUAUUAAAAAUAAUGGUAGUAAGUAAUAGCAUGCUACCGAAUUAAUCAAGGUUUAUGAAUUAAGGAGAUUGAUAUUUAAUUAAAAUGUAUAUGGAACCAAAAGUCUUUCUUUUUUAUUCUUCUGACUAUACAUAUUUAUAUAACACAGAAUAUUUUGAUUUUUUUUUUAAGAAAAGAAAGAAUUUAAUGCGUUCGGUAUUAUUUUUCAAAUGGUGUUAUAGAAUUUGUUUUAUGAAAUAAGAAUGAUUAGUUUUUGUUGAAAAUGAAAAUGUAUUUGGUAACUUAUUUGAAGUACAGUACUUAAAAAUUAUUUAAAAAAAAAAAAAGUAAAAAGGUGUUUAGUUGUUUGUCUCAAAAAAUGAAGACAGGAAAAGAGAGUAGAGAAUUAUUUAAUGAAACAUUUUCUUAGUAGAUGGAUUAUUUAAUGAAACCUUUACGAAAGAGUAAUAUAAUGCAAUGAAUAUAACAAUAUAUUUUAUAUCAUUAAAUAAUUUAUCUAUUUAGAUAAAUUAUAUAUUACUAUAGAUGAAUAUAGGUACAUGGUUAUUUUACUGAUUGCUUAAAAACUUUUAAUUAUGUAAAUAAAUUGUAGUUAUAAGAUAAUAUUAAUUAAGAAAAUCUUAAAUUUCUUUAUAAUUAUCAUAUAUUUGUUUAUAUUAGUUCCAAAGAUGUAAAUUUUUUAUUGAUAUAUUUUCAUCGGUAUAUAUAAAGGUUUAUAGUCAUUUUUGAAUAGCUACAUAUUGGUCGAACAAUGUAAUAAUUUGCUAUAAUAAUUAUGUGAUAUUACUUUUUAUUUAAAACAGUUUGUGUAAUACAUUAAGUGAUUAGACUAUAAGGUAUAGAAUAAAUUCUUGUUAUUGUUGUUAUGUUAAAUAUUUGUUAUAAUAGUUUAUUUAUUAAAUUAUUUCUUCAUUCAUAAGGGUAACAUAAUCUACUACACUAUGUUAUAAAGUCAGGCACCAAAUGAAUAGUGUUGCACCAUAUUUGGUGCAAUACUAUUCAUAACACCAUUUUGGUGUUACUUUGGAGAAAUAUUUUAUACCAAAAAUGGUAUAAAAUGUGGGGCAAAAUUAUGUUGCAACAGUGGUACGGUACCACUGUUACAACCAGCCAUUAGAUCUAUAGUUGUACAAUUGUAUUAAUUAUAUCCAAUGACUGAAAGCAACAUAGUUAGACCCUAAAAGGUGAUUUGGUGUUAGGUUUAGUGCUGCAUGGAGAUGCCCUCACGGCUAUUUAGCAUUUUUUCGAAGUUGUUUAGUUUUAAAUUAUAAAAAUUAUAUUGAAACGCACCGUUUCAAGCAUAAAUGUAAUUAUCCAAAACCCCAAGGGCAUUUCCAAAAACUGAUAAAACCCUAAACACUAACUAUAUAAGCCCCACUUAAUCCCUCGCGUCUGCUCCACCGGUAGUCAUUUUAGGGUUUCUCUGUGUGUUGCGCGCGCUUCCCUCAUAGCAAACCCUAACAAAAAAUGGCGACAGCAAAAGCAGGUCCAGUGGAAUCUGUACAAUGCUUCGGCCGCAAGAAGACUGCGGUCGCCGUGACUUACUGCAAGCGCGGUCGUGGGUUGAUCAAGAUUAACGGCUGCCCGAUCGAGUUAGUCGAGCCGGAGAUCCUCCGCUUCAAGGCAUACGAGCCAAUUCUCUUGCUCGGGCGACACCGAUUCGCCGGCGUGGACAUGAGAAUCCGCGUGAAGGGCGGGGGACACACGUCGCAGAUCUACGCCAUCCGCCAGAGCAUCGCCAAGGCUCUCGUGGCUUUCUACCAGAAGUAUGUUGACGAGCAGAGCAAGAAGGAGAUCAAGGACAUUCUCGUUAGGUACGACAGGACCCUGCUUGUGGCAGACCCACGGCGGUGCGAGCCCAAGAAGUUCGGUGGACGUGGCGCUAGGGCUCGGUUCCAGAAGAGUUACCGUUGAGCGGGAAUGCUAGGAAGCGAAACGAAACGGCUUGUUGUUUUGCUCUGCUGUACCGUACAUCCGCCUUGGCCGUACAGCAGUGAGUAGAAAAUGGACAUCUUUUAUUUGUAAAAAUUAUUUAUUUAAGUAUAUAUUUUAUAAAAAUCAAUGUAAUAAUAUAAAUUUUAAUUAUAUAUGUUUGAUUGUAAAUAUUAAUAUAAUAUUUUAUUAUAAUAAUCAUUAUAAAUAUUUAUGUAAUAUAAUAAUAUUAUACGUGAUCAGUAUUAAAAAAACUCAAUCUACUGAACUAAGAAUCACAAAUAAAUAAAUAUUAGUAAUAAUAAUAGAAUUUAAUUUUUCUUAAAGGAGUAAUAUUAUUAUUUACUUGCUUACCGCGCCAGCAAUUGCCUUUUUGACCGCCUUCAUGUCAUCGAUCGAGAAAGUAGCCGUCGCCAGCUUCCUCGGCCAGAGCUCGACCCCAGCGCCUCCGCUAAUCGCCGUCUUCCGAUCAGAAACCCACAGAGCCCUCAACAAAAACUCCAAAACGAACACGAUACUAAGCAAAACCAUCUUCAACAAACCCCACAAGCUCCCGAUCUUCCCCGCACUCUCCGUCCUCUUCCCGCCGGCCACCGCCGGCAGAGCCUCCGGGUCGUCCGCCAGGCGGCAACCCGCGAGCAGCAUCGACACCAGCGAAAUCCCAUCGCCCAAGGCAUGGUGAAUCCUGAACACGGCGCACCUGUGCUCCGCCAGCACGUGAACCUCCCACAGGGGCUUGUCUUCGCUGAGGGGAGAGCUGAAUGACAGGCCGGCCACGUAGUCGUUGACCGAGGUGGAGUCGUGGACUUCGACGAAGUGUCGGUCGAUGUCGACGCUGGUUUCGCGCCAGUGCUCGAGGCCGCGCUUGUCUCUGACCAGGACGCUCCGGAAGCGCGGGUGCCGGACCAUGAUGGAGCUCAUGACGGCGUCCUUCGAUUUGGGCACGUCAAUGGGGCGUUCGAACCCGACGACGCAGUGGAUUAUCGUGUUCAUGUGCGGCUGGAGGAAGAGGCGGCCGGCGGGGGUCAGUGGCUCGUCGGGGUGGGACCCCAUUUGUAGCUGUGUAUGUUCCUUGUUGAAGAUGUCCUACAGAGAAUUUUAUGACGCCGGUUCCAUCCAACUAACUGGCUUUAACCUUUGCCUUCAUUUCACACAAAUAAGAAGUUUGAUUGAUGCAAAUCACGAAGGGGGGAAAAAGAAAGGGUACCUUGUUAUGAACGACAAUCCAGCAAUCGUCUUUGGUGUUGUGGUGAGCAGCUUCUUGCCUGCUGUACGGCCAAGGCGGAUGUACGGUACAGCAGGGGGGGGUUCUUCCUUUUUGAUUUAAUUUUUUUAUCAUCAAAACAAAACAUACGUUCCAUUAAUUUGUCUUAUUUUGAUGAUCAAAGGAUUUGUUUCGUUACUUUUUAAUUGCUGGUCUGGGCAACAACUAUGACAUACUUUGUUUAGAUAAUUAAUAAAUGGUUGGGAAUAUUAUUUAUGCCACUUGGGUUUAGCUGUUGAGGACCGAUGCUUUCCUUUCAAACUUCUAUUGAUAAGGGGAUUACAAUAAUGAUUUAUAUAUGUAUGUAUGUAUAUACACACAUGCAUAUACAUACAUACAUACAUACAUACAUCAUACAUAUAUAUAGGGAAAAAUUGAAAGAUGGAGGAUUACUUUUUAAAUUGAUUGGUUGUUUUAGUCAUUAGCACAUUAGAUGCCCCUUCAACAAUAGUCAUAUUAACUAGCGUAUUUAUUAAUGUAUAUCUUCUUUGGACGUUGUUCAUCGAGUAAGAAAGGACAAUUUGAUAAUAUUGUAGUUUUUGUAUUAAUUUAUUAGUUAUAUUGUAUAAAUAAUUAACUACAAAGACAAUCAAUUAAACGUUUAGUAAAAUUUAUUUUUAAAAGUACUAUGACUUUCAAAAAUAUAACUUUUAAAAAGAGUAAUGAUAUAGCCACAAAAUCUUGUACAAACUUAUUUUGUACAAACUGAUGUAGCAUGAUAAGAUUGGUUGAAUUAAAUAUCACUUGGCCCACAUGAUUUGUUUUUAUUAUUUUAUAUUUUCAUUCAACCAAUGAAUUAAUGCCACGUUAGUUUGUACAAAAUAAGUUUGUACAAGAGUUUGUGACUGUAUCAUUACUCUUUUAAAAAUAAAUGUAUUUAGUAAAUUUUACUGUUAAAUUGCUGUUAAAACAUAAAUGAUUGAAUUGGAGAUAAUGUUGAAUAAAAUUUAUUUAAACAUUUAUAGGUAUGAAUAUAAAAUAUUUUUGAUUGUGUACGUAAAUAAUUGACUACUAAAAUGAAUAUUUUAUAAUAUUAAAUUUAUUUUUUUAUCUCAAUAUAAUUACUAAUAAUAAUAAUAAUUUAUUUAAAGUUGAUGAUUUUAUUUCCUAAUUAAGAAGGAUGAUUUUAGAUUUUUAUAAAAUAUAUGAGGAUAUAUAUGAAAUUAUAUUAGGUAUAAAAGUAAUUCUCAAAAUUAGAUUUUAAAAAACUACUAAUUUUGUUGCUUUUCAAAAUUGUUAUAGGAUGAGAUAAUUUUAUCAAAAGUAAUUUAUUAAAAAAAAAUAGCAAACAUCAAAAUUAACUUCUAGGUUUUUGAAAUCACAUUUGAACUUCCUAAAAGUAAUCCCAAAACGUGUCCUAAGGAUGUAGUAUAUAUUUUGUAUUAGAUUAUUUUCAAGCUGGUUAAUUAAAUAACUCACUAAUCAGAUACACUUUCAAAUUAUGUUCAAGCACCAAUCACUAAAAUGAAAAUGAAAAUUUACAAAUUCUCAAAAAAUUGAAAAACUUCAACCCUUAAUAGUCGAAUCAUACAAGAAGUGAUUGGUGAGGAGAUCUUUAAUCCAUUUCUUAAUCCCCAAUAAUGUCUAAUAAUCCAGUAUUACAAGGCUCUAAUUCCCACCACAGAUUUUAUAGCUCAAUAAAAUAAAUAGGAUGGAGUCACUAGAAGGGAAGGACCCUUGCAAAAAUGCCAUCUAUCAAGGCCGGCAUAAAGUCAUUUGUGUGAUGUUAACAAAACAUAAACCCACCACGAAUCAAUCAUUUUGUGCAAUUUGCAAAUCAAUUUUCCUUCUGUGUAUAUAGAAAUUAAUAACAUAUAAUAGUGUCAUAAGGCGAAAAUUUAUAACAUAUAGCGUCAGACUAGUAAUACGAAUAUAAAGAAGAACAGUGUAGUUGGGGGCUAGCAGAGGCGGAUACACCUCGUGAUUAAUGGGGGCUCAAGUCCCUGCUGCUGGAGAAAAUAAUUUCAAAAAAAAAAUAAAAAGAGAAAUUGCUUUAAAUUAAAUCUGUUAAAGUAGCCCUAUUAAUUUAUAAAAAUAAGGGUUAUUAUCAUUUUACUACUUCAAAAAUUGUCAAAUAUCAAAUGACUACAACAAGUAUUGUCUCCUAUCAUUUUCUUACUAUAUCUUUAUAAAAAUAUCAUUUUAUUACUUUUCCGUUAUAACCGUUAGUUGACCAGUUAGUUGACUAACAAAAUACCAAUUUCACCCUUUAUGAUUAAAAAAAAUUACUUGAAACUUAUUUACAAAAUAAAAUUGUAAUAUAUUUAUUAAAAUGGAUAUAAAAUACCAACAUAAUUCUUUUUGCUGGUAUUAUGAAAAUGAAGCUUAUUUACAAAAUAAAUUUGUCUUAUUAUUUUUUUAAUGAAGCUUAUUUUUUUAAUCAUGAAGGGUAAAAUUGAUAUUUUGUUAGUCAACUAACUGGUCAACUAACGAGUCAACUAACGGUUGUAACGGAAAAAUAGUAAAAUGAUAUUUGUUAUAACAAAAAAGUAGUAAAAUGAUAUUUUUAUAAAGAUAUAGUGGGAAAAUAAUAGAAGACAAUAUUUAUUGUAGUCAUUUGAUAUUUAGUAAUUUUUGAAGUAGUAAAAAUGAUAAUAACCCUAAAAAUAAUCUCAUAAACCCAUAACAUUUAAAUUUUUAACCUUGAGAAUUAUAAAAACCCAUACUCUAAUUAAGAAAAAUAAAAACUCACAGUAACUUAAUUAUAUGGAUGGUUUUACUAUUAUUUAAUUUAACCAUCAUUAAAUUUAUUAAAAUAAACUAAUUAGCUCACAAAAAUUUAUUUGUGAAAUUUUAACGGAUUUUUUUAUAAAUUUAUGAAAUGUUCAUUCAUUUAUUUUAAAUUAUAAAUAAAUAUGAAAUUAAAUAAAUUUCAUAACGGAUUUUUUUUUUUUUUGACACCUUUAACAUCGGACAAGCUGAUCUUUUGACAUAAUUAACUAACAAACAGAUGUGACAUGUAACAAAUAAAUCGCUUGUUAUAAGUAAACUUUUCCUCCACAUAAUAUUAUUGAUAAAGACUAUUUGAGAAUAGUUGUUGAGCGCUUUUAAAUGAGCAUAAGGAUGAGGGAGGGACGAUGGAAACUGAGCACAUGUUGUCAUUUCAUAUACUCUUCUCUCUCUUAUUUAUGGCCCACUAGUGCUAUUAUAAUAAUAAUUAAAAAUGAGGCAAAAUAAUGAAAAAAAUUAAAUUAAAUAAAAAAGCAGCCGUUAUCCCCAAGUACGGGAUCUGCUGACGGUGCCGAUGACGACCGCGCCAACAACAGAGGCGGCUUCUAAGUUGACGAAAUUAUGAAAUUGUCGUUGGUUAAUUGGUAAUUCUCUCUCUCUCCAAUUACAUUGAAAUAAACUUAGUUUAUGGAUGUGUUUUAUAUAUUUAAAUUGUUAGAGUUUUUUUUAAAUUUAAAUUGUUAGAAAGUUAAUGGAUUAAAAUUUUACUAGAUGAUAAUUUUAUAAAAAAAUUUAAUUACUUGUUCUUAAUACAAAGGAUAAUUAUUUUGUAGAAAUAUAAUAACAAGUUAUAAACACAUGAGAGAUUGAGUACUCAAUAACAAACUCAAUGAUAAUUAUUGAAUCCGUUAUAAUUUGAAUUUGGUUGAGCUUUUUUUUUUUUAAUAAUUGGAGAAGACCUUUUGGACACAAUUGGAUCACUGUUAACCUCAAUCAGUUUGCUGUUCUGACUUGUUCCUAGUAACCAUUAUGUUGAAUUUUAAAUUAUUGGAUCAUUGUUUAGAAUAGUCGGAUUACCGUUUAAUUCCAAAAAGUUCACUGAUCGAAGUCAAAUCACCGUUUGUUGUUUACCGUUUAAUUCCAGAAGCUCACAUCUGCGAAGUCGGCUUGUUAUUUGUAAAUAACGGUUUGCUGUUUUCAAAUAAAAUUUUUUCUAUAUUUUAUUGGUUACCGUUUUCUCACUAACAAUUAACCAUUAACUUCCCAAAGCUAUUAAUAACUCAACUACAAGUUAUUGGUUUGCCCUUUUUAAGCUUAACAGUUAUCCAUUUAUUUUCAUAAACUUGAAUUUGUCGAAAACAUCAUACGAUCUAAGAAAUUAUCCAAAUUUAAAGACUCUUAACUUUCUUAAUUUAGUUUGUUAUCAUCAAAAUCAAUGUCAUGGUUAUGUCAACACUUCCUUUGCAAUUGUAGAUUAGUGAAAGUGUAAAAAAGUAAACUAAAAUGAGUGAUUGUGCGAGAAUUAAAGGUAUUGCAUCAAAUUGAUAUUAUAAGCCCAAAUUGAUAUUUGCAUUCCCAAUUAUAAAGUAUUGCAUCAAUACAAAAAGGCAACAUAUAUGUAAAAUGAAAACUGGUGCAUUUGACAGUAGAAAAUUGAAAGACUUUUACAUCUUACAAUUUGGGUCAAGGCCAUUAGCAAGCUUUUACAAUUUGCUUGUUAUGCGUCAGUACAAUAUUUUCCAAAUCAAGUUAUCAUAAAAAAUUAUCAUAAAUCACCUAAUUGAAUUUUUUUAUAAAAUUAUCAUAAACCACAGAACUAUCAUAACACAAAUACAAUAUAUUAGAUCCUAUUUUACUAUUUAUACUCAAUGAUUCCAAAAAUUAUCAUAAAUCACAUAAUUGAAAUUGUUUAUUUUUAAUUAUUUGACAGAAAAUUGAUCGUAUACAAGUGAGAGAUAGAGAGAGAGAGAGAGAGAGAGAAAUGAGACCUUUAGCAAUGGCAGUAUUGGCAUUAUGGUGAUGGCUCUGUUAGACCUGUGAUGCACUGGCGGUGGCUCUAUUGGCUCUUUAUACAUCAGCAUCAUGGUGGCAGCUCCAUUGAAUGCAAGGUUAUGGCUUUUCUUCUUCUUCUUUUUCCUUUUGAUAAGAGAUCAUUAGUUGAUCAUCGUCGGUCGUUUUUUAACAAAAUGAUCCUUUUUUUUCCAACAGAAUAAAUGUGCAAAGCUUUAGGAGAAAAGUGCUGCUAAACGAAGAUGAUAAGGUUUAGCAAAAAGGCUCGAUCUUCCUACUUUUUUAUUUUUUAAUUAUUAUUUUAAUAGUUAUUGUGGGUCACAAAUAAGAGAGAGAAGGGUGCACGAAACAGCAGCAAGUGCUGCCAUUUUGGUUGUCCUUCCCUCGUCCUUGGGCCAUCUCCAAUGCUUAACACUAUUUUAGUGUAACACCAACAUAAAAAAUUUUUUUUUUUUUACACUAAAUUAUUAUUUCAUCUCCAAUCCAUUUACACCAAAUUUUACACCAAAAAAAAUAUUCUUCUUUUUAUUAUUUUAAUUCUCAAUAAUUAAUUCAAUUAACACAAUAAAUAUUACUAUUAAUAUAGACAAUUAAGUAAUAAGUAAUUUUAUAUUGAUUAACAAAAAAAAAAGAAAAUUAUUAAAUUUGCAUUUAAUUAAUUAAAUUAGUAUAUUAUGAAAAUUAAACAUUACAUUAAUAUAGAAAAAUACAAUAACAGUAAUAAUAUUCUAGUUAUUCGAAUUACUAAAUUCAUCCCAUAAAUGAUCAAUUAAUGCAUUUCGGAGUGCAAUGUGAGCCUCUUUAUCCUUGAUUUGUUUGUGUCGAGCAAGAAAUUCUUGAAAUCUAGUAUUCUCAUAUACCCUCAUAUCAACGAUUGAUAUUGGGGCUUGCAUCCAAUCAUUAAUUGUUGCAUUAACAUCACGUUCAUCUUCGAUUAUCAUAUUGUGCAUAAUAAUGCAAGCCGUCAUUAUAUCAUGUAACAAAUUAAGAUUUUACAGAGAAGACCUCAGCAAUGCCAAUCAUCUCAAAAUACUUCCAAUAAUAUUGGCCAAUAUUUUGAUGAUAUUGGAGGAUCUAAUAAUGAUCUCCCAUAUUACUAAAUAAUUGUUCUAAUUUAUGCUAGUAGUAGUAGCUUUUUAAUUUGUGUUAAUUUAAUUUUGUAUUUUUAAUUUUGUAAUAUGUAAUCUAGUAAUUAAUGUUAUUGACAUUUUAUUUUUAUUAUUAAUUUUUGUGUUGAAUAUUUUUUAUUUAAAAUAUUAGUAUAAUAAUCAAAAAUUAAAAAAUGAAAUUAAAAUAAUAAUAAUAAUAACUUAAAAUAUUAUAUAAAAUAGGACAUAUAUGUAAGUAAAAAUAAUAAUAAGGACAUUUGAGAUUUUUUUUUCCCUAGCACCAAAUGAAUAGUGUUGCACCAUAUUUGGUGCAAUACUAUUCAUAACACCAUUUUGGUGUUACUUUGGAGAAAUAUUUUAUACCAAAAAUGGUAUAAAAUGUGGGGCAAAAUUAUGUUGCAACAGUGGUACGGUACCACUGUUACAACCAGCCAUUAGAUCUAUAGUUGUACAAUUGUAUUAAUUAUAUCCAAUGACUGAAAGCAACAUAGUUAGACCCUAAAAGGUGAUUUGGUGUUAGGUUUAGUGCUGCAUGGAGAUGCCCUCACGGCUAUUUAGCAUUUUUUCGAAGUUGUUUAGUUUUAAAUUAUAAAAAUUAUAUUGAAACGCACCGUUUCAAGCAUAAAUGUAAUUAUCCAAAACCCCAAGGGCAUUUCCAAAAACUGAUAAAACCCUAAACACUAACUAUAUAAGCCCCACUUAAUCCCUCGCGUCUGCUCCACCGGUAGUCAUUUUAGGGUUUCUCUGUGUGUUGCGCGCGCUUCCCUCAUAGCAAACCCUAACAAAAAAUGGCGACAGCAAAAGCAGGUCCAGUGGAAUCUGUACAAUGCUUCGGCCGCAAGAAGACUGCGGUCGCCGUGACUUACUGCAAGCGCGGUCGUGGGUUGAUCAAGAUUAACGGCUGCCCGAUCGAGUUAGUCGAGCCGGAGAUCCUCCGCUUCAAGGCAUACGAGCCAAUUCUCUUGCUCGGGCGACACCGAUUCGCCGGCGUGGACAUGAGAAUCCGCGUGAAGGGCGGGGGACACACGUCGCAGAUCUACGCCAUCCGCCAGAGCAUCGCCAAGGCUCUCGUGGCUUUCUACCAGAAGUAUGUUGACGAGCAGAGCAAGAAGGAGAUCAAGGACAUUCUCGUUAGGUACGACAGGACCCUGCUUGUGGCAGACCCACGGCGGUGCGAGCCCAAGAAGUUCGGUGGACGUGGCGCUAGGGCUCGGUUCCAGAAGAGUUACCGUUGAGCGGGAAUGCUAGGAAGCGAAACGAAACGGCUUGUUGUUUUGCUAUUAUAGUUUGUUUGUU
rnacentral:lncRNA from 1 species